rnacentral:rRNA from 1 species
AACGAACGCUGGCGGCAGGCUUAACACAUGCAAGUCGAACGCUCGUAGCAAUACGGGAGUGGCGGACGGGUGAGUAACGCGUGGGAACGUGCCCUGAGGUACGGAAUAACUGCGGGAAACUGCAGCUAAUACCGUAUGAGCCCCUAACGGGGGAAAGAUUUAUCGCCUUAGGAGCGGCCCGCGUCGGAUUAGCUAGUUGGUGGGGUAACGGCCUACCAAGGCUUCGAUCCGUAGCUGGUCUGAGAGGACGAUCAGCCACACUGGGACUGAGACACGGCCCAGACUCCUACGGGAGGCAGCAGUGGGGAAUCUUGCGCAAUGGGGGCAACCCUGACGCAGCCAUGCCGCGUGAACGAUGAAGGCCUUAGGGUUGUAAAGUUCUUUUACCCGUGACGAUGAUGACGGUAACGGGGGAAUAAGCUCCGGCUAACUCUGUGCCAGCAGCCGCGGUAACAC